UACGUAGGGGGCAAGCGUUGUCCGGAUUCAUUGGGCGUAAAGAGCGUGUAGGCGGCUUUACAGGUCCGUUGUGAAAACUCGAGGCUCAACCUCGAGACGCCGGUGGAAACCGUAAAGCUAGAGUCCGGAAGAGGAGAGUGGAAUUCCUGGUGUAGCGGUGAAAUGCGCAGAUAUCAGGAAGAACACCCGUGGCGAAGGCGGCUCUCUGGGACGGUACUGACGCUGAGACGCGAAAGCGUGGGGAGCGAACAGG
rnacentral:rRNA from 1 species